GUGAGUGUAGCCUAGUGGUUUAAGGCACCAGGUUGUGGCCCUGGAGAUCGAGGGUUCGAAUCCCUUCACUCACCCCA
rnacentral:tRNA from 1 species